AUCCGAUGAUGAGGACACUUGAGUAUGUAAUUUUGAAAGCGCUCCCAAGCUUCUAGGACUGUCUCAUCAUGUUGUUGCUGAAAACUCGAUAUCUUUCGACGUAGAGC
rfam:Sorghum bicolor cultivar BTx623 chromosome 8, whole genome shotgun sequence.